rnacentral:rRNA from 1 species
CAGUUCAGCACUAAGUCACUUUGUCUUUAUGGCAUUUGUGAGAUGCAGUGUAAGGAACAUCUACCAUCUAGUAUGAGAAGUUAGUGCAUUUAAGUCGUUCUUAAAUGAGGCCAAUUACCCAUAGAGGGUGCUAGGCCCGUGCAAUGCUAAUGAUUACUAGAAGAUGCUUCCAAAGAGUCGUGUUGCUUGAUAGUGCAGCACUAAGUGGGUGGUAAACUCCAUCUAAAACUAAAUAUAACCAUGAGACCGAUAGCAAACAAGUACCGUGAGGGAAAGUUGAAAAGAACUCUGAAUAGAGAGUUAAAUAGUACGUGAAACUGCUUAGAGGUUAAGCCCGAUGAACCUGAAUAUCCAUUAUGGGAAAUUCAUCAUUAAAGUAUGUGGUAUUUAAAACAAUACCGCUGAAAUAGUGUGCAUUUUUCCCAUAUAAGGACAUUGUAAUCUAUUAACAUGUUGCAAUUUAUCAAAAGACCUAAGUGGUUAAGCUUAUUCCAAUUAGGGUCUUCGGACGCUAACACAGAAUAAAUUACCGAACUGGUCUGAUAAAGUGUUGAUAGAUUUUAUUGUAUAUGGUGCUUAAAUACCUUCGGGUAUUUUAUAAUGGCAUUCGAAUCAUUGAUUCGGGUGUUUGUUAUAUGCUCCAAUAUGAUUGACAAUGCG